UGGGGAAUCUUGCACAAUGGGGGAAACCCUGAUGCAGCGACGCCGCGUGAGCGAUGAAGGUUUUCGAAUCGUAAAGCUCUGUCCUAUGGGAAGAUAAUGACGGUACCAUAGGAGGAAGCCCCGGCUAACUACGUGCCAGCAGCCUCGGUAAUACGUAGGGGGCGAGCGUUGUCCGGAAUUACUGGGCGUAAAGGGUUCGCAGGCGGCAUGACAAGUCCGAUGUAAAAGGCGAAAGCUCAACUUUCGUAAGCAUCGGAAACUGUCAAGCAUGAGUGAAGGAGAGGCAAGUGGAAUUCCUAGUGUAGCGGUGGAAUGCGUAGAUAUUAGGAGGAAUACCGGUGGCGAAGGCGACUUGCUGGACUUCAACUGACGCUGAGGAACGAAAGCGUGGGUAGCAAACAGG
rnacentral:rRNA from 1 species